GGCAUAAUUAAAAGAACAAAACAUAAAAAAAAGGAACGAUGGAUUUUUACGAUUUUUUUUUUUUCGUUUGUCUAUCUGCCAGAGUCUUUAUGAUCUUCGCAGAUGUAUAUUUUAUACGAAAGUUUCUACUAUAAAUAAGCAACAUGUGAUCUGAGAAAAAUCUGAUAAAACAUUAAUCCCGUGAUGGUGCUUCUUUAUCAAAGAUGAUUUUUUUUUCAUUUUAUGUUUAUGGGGAGAAAAGUUAUGAUUUAUAAUAAAACUUUUAAUGCCAACGAAAGAAAUCGCUCGAUUGAUAACGCGUAACUACGCGGAUAAAAAGGAAAAAAAAAAAAAAAAACAGAAAAUAAUUAGAAUAUUAAUUUUACGAAAUAAGCGAAAUUGUUUUGCAUUUUUAAUCGAUAAUUGCGCUUUGUCAGCUAAAUCUUUUCAGAUGAUAAUACAGGGGAAUGAGAUGAAUUUUAACUGGUUUAGUUUUAAAUUAAGUCUGAUUAUAAAAAGUUCAGCUUUUAAUAUAAAUUACUUAAUUGUUCAGUAGAGUGGCGACGUUGUUUCGUGCACGGAAUGAUUGCUAAGUGUUGAGGUAUAUUCGCAAAAGUUCGGUGUAGAAAAUAAAGCUUUAUCUACCCGAUAAUAAAAUUUCUUUAUACUGGAAGAGAGGUAACAUAAUAUAGGGAAAAAUAAGAAAAAAUAAUAAUAAUCAUAUAUAUUAAUAGUCAAACGUAACUGGCUGAUGGAUGUCCCUUUUUCGGUCGAACCACUGUAUCGAUUUUUACAACUAAGAUAUCAUUAGAAAGGUCUAAUUUUUUUAUGUCUGCGACAGCCAAAAUUAUUUGUUGUUAUUAAUAAUUUAAAAAUU
rnacentral:lncRNA from 1 species